CAGCAGCCGCGGUAAUGCGUAGGUGGCAAGCGUCGUCCGGAAUUAUUGGGCGUAAAGGGCUCGCAGGCGGUUUCUUAAGUCUGAUGUGAAAGCCCCCGGCUCAACCGGGGAGGGUCAUUGGAAACUGGGAAACUUGAGUGCAGAAGAGGAGAGUGGAAUUCCACGUGUAGCGGUGAAAUGCGUAGAGAUGUGGAGGAACACCAGUGGCGAAGGCGACUCUCUGGUCUGUAACUGACGCUGAGGAGCGAAAGCGUGGGGAGCGAACAGGAUUAGAUACCCGCGUAGUCCCUGUCUCUUAUAC
rnacentral:rRNA from 1 species